rnacentral:tRNA from 1 species
GCGCCUGUAGCUCAAUUGGACAGAGUGUUAGGUUACGGCUACUAAAGGUUGCGGGUUCGACUCCUGUAAGGCGCA